CUCCCGAGACUGAAGAAGCUUGCUUCUGAGGAAUCAUUUGGAAUACUUAGUGGCGGACGGGUGAGUAACGCGUGGGUAACCUGCCUCACACAGGGGGAUAACAGUUGGAAACGACUGUUAAUACCGCAUAAGCGCACAGUAUCGCAUGGUACAGUGUGAAAAGCUCCGGCGGUGUGAGAUGGACCCGCGUCUGAUUAGCUAGUUGGCGGGGUAACGGCCCACCAAGGCUUCGAUCAGUAGCCGGCCUGAGAGGGUGUACGGCCACAUUGGGACUGAGACACGGCCCAAACUCCUACGGGAGGCAGCAGUGGGGAAUAUUGCACAAUGGGGGAAACCCUGAUGCAGCGACGCCGCGUGAGUGAGGAAGUAUUUCGGUAUGUAAAGCUCUAUCAGCAGGGAAGAUAAUGACGGUACCUGACUAAGAAGCACCGGCUAAAUACGUGCCAGCAGCCGCGGUAAUACGUAUGGUGCAAGCGUUAUCCGGAUUUACUGGGUGUAAAGGGUGCGUAGGUGGCAUAUCAAGUCAGAUGUGAAAACUCUGGGCUCAACCCAGAGACUGCAUUUGAAACUGAUAAGCUGGAGUACAGGAGAGGAAAGCAGAAUUCCUAGUGUAGCGGUGAAAUGCGUAGAUAUUAGGAAGAACACCGGUGGCGAA
rnacentral:rRNA from 1 species